UUACCCUGUCGAACCGAGCGAGUG
rnacentral:miRNA from 1 species